rnacentral:rRNA from 1 species
UACGAAGGGGGCUAGCGUUGUUCGGAAUCACUGGGCGUAAAGCGCGUGUAGGCGGAUCGUUAAGUCGGGGGUGAAAUCCUGAGGCUCAACCUCAGAACUGCCUUCGAUACUGGCGAUCUUAGAGUCCGGGAGAGGUGAGUGGAACUCCUAGUGAUAGAGGUGAAAUCGUAGAUAUUAGGAAGAACACCAGUGGCGAAGGCGGCUCACGUGGCCCCGGUACUGACGCUGA